AUCUCGGUGGUGUAGUGGUAGCACACUUCCCCGCUAUAGAUGAAACGCUGGUUCGACUCCCGCCUGAGGUC